GGGCGGUUAGCUCAGCCGGGAGAGCGCUGUCUUCACACGGCAGAGGCCACUGGUUCGAUCCCAGUACCGCCCA
rnacentral:tRNA from 1 species